CUCCCUUUAAAUUUUCUCUCUUUCUUUAGCUCAAGAUAUUGGUGAGGCGCAGCAUUCUUGAAGCUAUUAACUUUACUGCCCUCGAAAACCAAAAGAACCCCAACCCCUCUACCAUUAAUCUUCAAGCAACAGUUUCCCAGUUUGAAUUUGAAAUGGUAGGAAUUCAAUUACCUUCUCACCAUCACGAUGCUCUUAAUUUGGAAGAGCUGGAAAAGUGCCAAGUGCCCGUAGCUCGUGCAGUUGAAGAAGCAGAGAAGGGGCUGGAUGAUCCUGAGGUGCCCAUAUCCCAUUUUAAAGUCAACAGGGUUCUAAAGCACCGUAAUUCUUCAAGGACCAUUGUUGAUAUCUAUGACCUGUAUCCAAAGCUUGCAAAUGGUGGAAAAAUCAAAUCUAAAAAGAGUAGUUCGGGAAGUUUCUUCUUCGCCAGUGACAGUGAGAUAAGGCGUAUGAAUUCUCUUCACUGUGCAUCUCCGCCUGACGGACCUUGGAUAUGUAGUUUUAUGUAAAAGUCUCUUCAAUUUUUUUUUUCCUUAAUAUCAAAACUGAGGUAAUCGAAAAAAAUAGAUUAUGCUCAACAUUUUGUACUGACGUCAAAUUUAUCAAUAUAAAAAAAAAGAACUUUUUA
rnacentral:misc_RNA from 1 species